UCCUAAAUUGAAUCUUCCUUGAUUACAUCACCUAACAUGUAGUAAUUGAUGUGAUAGGAGACGCUUCAGUAACAAAAAACUUGAUAUGAAUGUGCAACGUAUAUGCCCCCAAAUAUAGAUGAAUAUAUGCCUAUAGUCCAUAAUAAAAAGAUGAAGCAAGUUUGAAAACAAUAAUCAGCAUAAAUAAAAAGGAUUCUCUUCUCUAGGAUGUUGCCUCUUUUGAUAAGUCAGAUAACUAGUCAUGUUGUCCAAAUUAGAACACCUAUUCAACCAAAUGCCAUAUCAUGAAUUAACUGAUAAGCUCUUCAAGAAUAUCAAUAGAAUUCCAACCCAUUGUUCAAAGCACAACCAGGAAUAAGAAAUUAUCAAAGAGAGAAACUUUGAAAUUAAAACCAUGCUCGCUAUGAUAAUUCAAGUAGGUCUAUGAUCAAAUGUGAUAUGUUCUCGGAUAAAGAACAUUCUCUUUUCCAAUGGAAAUACUAUAACAUCUCUAAAGCACAAUCAACUAGAACCAAGAAGCUGCUGCAUGAGAGAGAAAUGUUGAGUUGCAAGCUGAUUAUAACUGCUCCAAGUUAUACUAUAGAAAACAUAAAGAGCCAAAUGUAGGGGAUUUG
rnacentral:misc_RNA from 1 species